CACGGGGGGAGCGAGCGUUGUUCGGAAUCACUGGGCGUAAAGGGCGUGUAGGCGGUCAGGUAAGUGGGAUGUGAAAUUCCCCGGCUCACCCGGGGGCGUGCAUCCCAAACUGCCUGGCUUGAGUAUGGGAGAGGAUGGGGGAAUUCCUGGUGUAGCGGUGAAAUGCGUAGAUAUCAGGAGGAACACCGGUGGCGAAGGCGCCCAUCUGGCCCAAUACUGACGCUGAGGCGCGAAAGCUAGGGGAG
rnacentral:rRNA from 1 species